ensembl:lncRNA novel transcript, antisense to SNRPB2
AUCAGCGGUAAACACUUAAGAGUAGCUAUUAUUAACAGCUAUUACCAGGUAAGGAACUUGCCUAAGGUCACACAGCUAAUAAGCAUCAGGCCUGGAAAUUCAGCCCUUGCUUUCUCCUCUACACUUGUCUUCCUCAUAUACCACACUAUUGCAUUUUUUACAUGGUUUUUACUUGCAAAUUGUGAACUUGGAUGAUUUCCUUGUGUGCCCCACAUAUUCCUUUAUCUCACAGUAUUUACAGAGCAUCCACUGUAUGUGAACUGCAUUGGAUGAUUGACAAGGGAAGAGCCUACAAGCAGGGGCUGCACUUGUGCAGGUAACAGGUAAAACGUAACGCUUCUCAAAGCCUUGCGACCCCCUAAAUCGAAAUCUGGAGAAGGGGCAGGGGUCGCAAAGGAGACGACGAAAGGGAAGUGACUGAGGCAGAGGUCAAAGUGAAGUCUUGCGAUCAACCCAGAACUGAAGGGAAGGGGAAUAAACUGGACAAGCCUGAUAGUUACAGUCACAAAUAGUGGAGGAAGCCAAGCACAGAGAGACGAGGUCUCCUUCUGUUGCCCAGGCUAGUCUCAAACUCCUGGCCUGAAGCAAUCCUCUUGCCUCAGCCUCCCAAAAUGUUGGGAUUACAGGUGUGAGCCACUGUGCCUAGCCCCCACUCUUUUAGGCCACUGGAGGAAAUUCCAGUCACUAGGGAGGGGGCUCUGGGGCGAACCACCCCGCUGUGCUGGAGCUGACCAUCCCCCAUGUGUGUGGCAGGGCAGAGCAUCCUUUACAGAAGAAUGAGAGACUGGAAGGCUGCUGCUAUAACCACAUUUUCUAGAUUUCUUCCUCAUCUUCUCUUGCAUGAGGCCCUUUUCUCUCUUUCUUCCCUUGUCAGCGGCCUUCUGGGCUGGCACCAUUUGCUUUCAGGGCUGACAGUUGGCUGGGAAAAGUGCCUGUAUUUCUCUUCUCUCAUUGGCAUCUGUCUUAACCCUCCUUAUCGCAGCUGCUGCUGUGAGCUCAUGCAUCCUCUGUGUGCUGUUUUCCACCCCCAAAUUGCCGAACCUGCCCUGUUUGCUGUUUCUGGUGGUGCAGAGCAUUUCAAAAUUAAAAAUUUAAGACAUU